GUGUGAAUUGCAUCAGUAUUGAAAAUAAAAACUGAAAAUACAAACCGAUAUAAAGACCAGCGUACUGAAUGUCGAGUUGAUAAUACUGCAAUGACCUGACUAUAUCAUAAAGGAACAAUUGUCCAGACAGAGGAUUGAGUUUACGAAUUGGCGGUUUCUUAAACCAACUUUACACAGGCUACUGUUUGGCCGCAGCCCACGCCAAAUAAAUGAAAGAUAACCCACAAGCCAAUCGUGACCUUCUCUUGUGAAGCCCAGACGUAAGAGAGAGAACAAAGGCUAAACCUGGUCUUAACUUCCAAUGCUCCAUCCCCCUGCCCAACCUCCCUCCACGCCACUCCGCCAGGAUGCCCCGCAUCAGAACAUUCCAGGCAUUCCCGUGAUGGGCAGAUAGCAGGUUGAUUGGCAUGUCGGACUCCGCGAACACUGGGUACUGUGUUGUUUCCCAGCCCAGAGUUGAGGACGCUGUCCCUUCCCACUGACCUCCACUAGGUCUCCUCUGGUCCUGGCCUGCUCAGUGAUGUCAUCCCCCGGGCCCUUGGCUGCACCAGUCUGGGUCUGGGAAUCCAAGAUGGUCACCCAGUCUCUUCUGUUAGCUUCCAGCCAACCACCUGCAGGAAGAGUCCACUCAGCAGGUUAAUGCUCUCUGGUCCAUCUUCUAUGGUCUCCUCUUUGACCAGCAGCAGAUCAAGCUUCCCAUCCUCCA